CUUGUAGGGAAAGGAAUAGAUUACCGCUCCCGUUGAAAGUCAGGUUGCUCCCCCUUCUUCCACACUGUUAUUCUCCUGCCGUCUAUUCCACGGUCUCCUCAGCCGCUAGCUCCUCCCACCAGGCAUCAGGCCGCUCCCCCGUCUUGACAACCCAGGGAUGAUGCUCCGCACUCAGGGAUCGGGACUUCCCCCUGCCGCUUUGUAGGAUGCUGCCUUGUCUAAAUGACGAGCGGCUGCAGCCACCGUAUAGGAUCCCUCCGACUACCUGGUGAUCAGCUUCUUUCUAUCGGGUCCCGGGCAGCACGUUCAGCGACGGGUCCGCCAACACCCUUCUCUCGGACUCAGCUCAGCAGCGUAGAUUAAGCACAGACCAUCAGACAACACAGCUCUCUCCAUGGACUGGUGUGGAAUGGUGCUGAAAAACCACCACAAGCACUUAAAUAGGGUCCAAAACCCAUGAGAAUAUAAAUCUGGGAUGAUGACAGUUUGCCUUUAUUUGGAAUCCGAGCAAGGCAGGAAAACCCGGGCCGCCGCAUGGAUUCACUCAGAUCCCUGAAGUUCAGGUUUUACUGAGACAUCUUCCAUAUUGAAUUUGUUCCAACCAUACACCAAGCACAAAGAUACUGUGUCCAUUUGUGAACUGUAAAUCCAAUACUGUACAUAUUUAUACUGACAACAUUUUACAAAAACCACUUUCAAUCAGCUGAACAUUGAUUGCAGGGCACUAAAGGAAACAUAUUGAUGAUCACUUGAUGAAAGAUGUGGAGUGAAUAAGGGAGAGACAGACAGGAUAACAAUCACACAGUCUGAGUUUCUCAGAUUUCCACAAGGAGAAGAAUCUCUAACAUUUUAGUCUAAAUACAUUUUUCUUUCGAUAACUGGAUACUGCAUUAUCGUAUAACAAAUAAUAGGUUUUCUACUGUAUACAUUUUCGUGUUAGCAUAUUGCACAAUGCACCAGCAGAACAAUGUUAGUACAAUACAUUAUCACUUACAGUAUACAGUGUAAUAAAUGAGCACAAAGUUACAUAAUGUUAGUGACUUUUAUUUUACUCACUGUAAUGAACAUAUUGUAGAAAAACAAACUUGGACAAACUAGCUAAAAAAUGUAUGUUAGUAAUAAUAAUAUGUAUUUUCCUACAACUACUUUAAAUAUAU